rnacentral:rRNA from 1 species
UACGUAGGGUGCGAGCGUUAAUCGGAAUUACUGGGCGUAAAGCGUGCGCAGGCGGUUUUGUAAGCCAGAUGUGAAAUCCCCGGGCUUAACCUGGGAAUGGCAUUUGGGACUGCAAGGCUUGAGUGCGGCAGAGGAGACUGGAAUUCCUGGUGUAGCAGUGAAAUGCGUAGAUAUCAGGAGGAAUACCGAUGGCGAAGGCAGGUCUCUGGGCUGACACUGACGCUCAUGCACGAGAGCGUGGGGAGCAAACAGG